GUCUACGGCCAUACUACCCAGAACACAGCGGAUCUUAUCUGAUCUAGCUAAGCAGGGUCAGGCCUGGUUAGUACUUGGAUGGGGGAAAACGGCCUGACGUGACC
ensembl:rRNA 5S_rRNA 5S ribosomal RNA